rnacentral:rRNA from 1 species
UACGUAGGUGGCAAGCGUUGUCCGGAUUUACUGGGCGUAAAGGGCUCGUAGGUGGCCAACUAAGUCAUACGUGAAAUCCCUCGGCUUAACCGGGGAACUGCGUCUGAUACUGGAUGGCUUGAGGUUGGGAGAGGGAUGCGGAAUUCCAGGUGUAGCGGUGAAAUGCGUAGAUAUCUGGAGGAACACCGGUGGCGAAGGCGGCAUCCUGGACCAAUUCUGACACUGAGGAGCGAAAGCCAGGGGAGCAAACGGG